rnacentral:lncRNA from 1 species
CUGGGACUGCCCCAGAGCCACCUGCAAAUCCUGGGGUUCCCCCCAAUCAUUCUCCUGUAAAUCUGGAAUCACCCUGGGGCUGGGAGCUGUUGGAAUUUUGUGGAUUUUUGAGCCGUGCAGAGCCAGGGGUGGGACUGAGUGGGAAUUUCUCUCUGUUUCAGGUGUCCCUGGGCCAAGCAGCUCUGCACCUUUUUCCUCGAGUCUGGCUUGGGGCAGCUCCCCUUUGGCACCACAGUUCACCAGGAGGUUUCCAAGUUUGUCAGUGCUUUUGAGAAGCUUUAAUUGGGGCCAAAUCCUCAGGAAUGUUUUUCCAGUUGGUUUUUCAUCCAGCCAGUCUCUUCCUGGAGAGUUCCUUGGGUUUGCUUUGGUUGUCACCUCCAGGAAGAGUCAGCUAAAACCUGACUUCCCUGGCUCUGCAAUGGGACCAGAGCCACGUUUUGGGAGUUUCUUGCAGUUCCACACAUUCAGCAUUGUUGGGAUGGAGUUGUUUUCAGGAGCUGACAAAAGCUCCUGGAUGGAGCAGGAGGCAGCAAAGAAUUUUUUCCUCCUUUUGGGACACAAACCUUGCAAGAGGCAACUGCUGAGAGGGAAAAGCUUUAAUGAAAGCAGGAGAGGGGAGCUGAGAGCUCCCUGUGCAGCAGUUUGGGGUCAGGUGCUGUUUUUGCACAGCUCUGAUUUUGGGUUUCAUUCUAAACCAAGAGGCUGAAGAUAAAACUGAGCUUUAUUUUCCUCAGCCAGCCCCAGCUGGGGCAGUGGAGAGCUGCUUUUGUUUGGGAAUAAUCCAGCUUUCAGGCUGGCCUUUCGUUUUCUGCUGAAAAUAAGGUUUGCAUUGGUGCAGGGGGCAUUUCCCACAUCCUGAAUCCGAUGGGAAUUUGGGAUUCACUGUGACCUGGAGGAGCUCUGCAGGAAAACAAACCCCAAAGUGUGCCCAGGGGCACUUUGCACAUUUCCACAGGGGUUUGGGGGAUCUGCAGCUCUUGUUAUCCCAAAGUUCCCAAAAAAAUGCACCUGGGUGGAAAUCUGAUAUCUUGUUCAUUAAAACUGUCUAAGUUCCAUUGUUACUUUGACAUUUUGAGUGGUUUUUUUUGGUUGUUUACUUGGUUUGGGGUGGGAUUUUGUUGUGAGGGCUUGGGGUUUUAUUUUUGGCUUUGGUUUCUUUGGG